CUGCUCCUGCAAUCUGUCCUGAAAACUACACCAUGUUCUCUGCAGUUUUAGUCUUGCUUCUGGCAAGUGUAAAUUGUAUUGAUUCAAAUGAACUCACUCAGUCUGAGUCUCUGACUGUUCGUCCUGAUGCCACUCUCACUAUCAACUGUAAAGUCUCCUAUUCAGUUACAAGUGAGGAUACAGGCUGGAUUCAUCAGCCUGCAGGAAAAGCUCUGGAGUGGAUUGGAUUGAUUGACUCUGCUGGAAACUUAGCCUACAAGGAUUCCCUGAAAAACAAGUUCAGUAUCACCAGAGACACUUCCAGUAACACAAUAACACUGCAAGGAAAGAAUAUGCAAGCUGAAGACACAGCUGUGUAUUAUUGUGCCAGAUAA